UCCGAGUUGACCCCGGCAGUCUCCUAUGAGUUCCCACCAUUACGUGCUGGCAACUAAUGACAAGGGUUGCGCUCGUUGCGGGACUUAACCCAACAUCUCACGACACGAGCUGACGACAGCCAUGCAGCACCUGUGCACGGACUCCGAAGAGGGGCCGAUGUUUCCACCGGCUUUCCCGUGCAUGUCAAGCCCAGGUAAGGUUCUUCGCGUUGCUUCGAAUUGAACCACAUGCUCCACCGCUUGUGCGGGCCCCCGUCAAUUCCUUUGAGUUUCAGCCUUGCGGCCGUACUCCCCAGGCGGGGUACUUAUUGCGUUAGCGCCGGUUCGGCGGGGGUCAAGACCCACCAAACCUAGUACCAUCGUUUACAGCGUGGACUAC
rnacentral:misc_RNA from 1 species